UACGUAGGGCGCAAGCGUUAUCCGGAAUUACUGGGCGUAAAGCGUGCGCAGGCGGUUUUGUAAGCCAGAUGUGAAAUCCCCGGGCUUAACCUGGGAAUGGCAUUUGGGACUGCAAGGCUGGAGUGUGGCAGAGGAGACUGGAAUUCCUGGUGUAGCAGUGAAAUGCGUAGAUAUCAGGAGGAAUACCGAUGGCGAAGGCAGGUCUCUGGGCUGACACUGACGCUCAUGCACGAAAGCGUGGGGAGCAAACAGG
rnacentral:rRNA from 1 species